UACAAUUCAAGAUGAGAUUUGGGUAGGGACACAAAGUCAAACUAUAUUGAUGUAUUACAGAAUAUUACUGAAGUCACAGUUUCUACUCUUGCCUAGGGUCCAUGUAUCAUUAAAUAAUCUUGUUCUCAAAGCCCAGAAGAACCAUGCCAGGAUAAAGCCUGAUCUAAAGAACUAGAAAAUAAACACUGAAAAAAGACAUUGCUACUUGUCUUAAGAAUCCCUCACAAAAUUAUGG
rnacentral:lncRNA from 1 species